GGGCGGUUAGCUCAGUUGGGAGAGCACCUGCCUUACAAGCAGGGGGUCAGCGGUUCGAGCCCGUUACCGCCCA
rnacentral:tRNA from 1 species